GAUGAACGCUAGCUACAGGCUUAACACAUGCAAGUCGCGGGGCAGCAUGGGGGUUGCUUGCCACUCCCGAUGGCGACCGGCGCACGGGUGAGUAACGCGUAUCCAACCUGCCCUUCACCACGGGAUAACCCGGCGAAAGUCGGACUAAUACCGUAUGUUGUCCAUUGACGGCAUCCGAUUUGGACGAAAGGCUUUGCGGUGAAGGAUGGGGAUGCGUCCGAUUAGCCAGACGGCGGGGUAACGGCCCACCGCGGCUACGAUCGGUAGGGGUUCUGAGAGGAAGGUCCCCCACACUGGAACUGAGACACGGUCCAGACUCCUACGGGAGGCAGCAGUGAGGAAUAUUGGUCAAUGGGCGUAAGCCUGAACCAGCCAAGUAGCGUGCAGGAUGACGGCCCUAUGGGUUGUAAACUGCUUUUAUGCGGGGAUAAAGUGGCCCACGUGUGGGCUUUUGCAGGUACCGCAUGAAUAAGGACCGGCUAAUUCCGUG
rnacentral:rRNA from 1 species